GGAAAGACUGAGAAGACAAACGAGAGGGAAGCAUAUCAGAAACCAGAAGGAGUGACUGUUGUCCAAAGCUACUCUGAUUUCAUUCCAUUAUAAUCACUUCAUUUACUUUACCUUCUUAGUCUGUCUAUUUAAUUCAAAUCAGUUAUAUUGGUUUAUGUAUUUUAUUGUUAUUUAGCUUGUCCUCAGAGGUUCAAUGUCUUUCUCUCCUUUAUAUCAGAUAGGCUGUUCUUAUGUAUCUUUCUAUAGAGAGAAUUUUACUGACCUAAUACUCGAUAGCAAGGUGUUUUCACCUUGGCACUACUGAGAGUUUAGACUGGAUAAUUCUCUGUUUUGGAGGCUGUCUGAUGCACCGUAGGAUGACCAGCAGUGACCCUGAUCUCCACUCACCAGAUGCCAGCUGUGACCACCAAAGAUGUCUCUAGACAUUGCCAAAAGUCACCUGGAGGACAAAAUUUCCCCCCUUGAGAGCCCUGCUCUACACUCAAUCAAAGAACCAACCAACUGUCCUUCCCUCUUUCGUUUUUCAUUUACUCACUCUCUAAAUCAGUGUUUGUGGAGACCUACUAGUUGUAAGAAAUUACGUGCGGUAUUUUAUUAACCAAGCAUCUCACUUUAUGUGAGCCAAAACAAGUCUAGGAGAAAAUGCAAAUACUACUUAAUGUCACUGAAGGCUAUAAUAAACCUAAUAAUACAGUUGGUACUAUCUGUAGGAAUCUUGUUUAUAAUCAAUGUAAGAGAUUUGCUUUACAGAGGUUAGAUGUAUAAGUGUAUAUACUUUUUGAGGGGAGGAGAAUAAAAAAAGUAGAAUAAAAGAUACUGAGAUCAUGCUUGCUUUCUGGAUUAGGGUCCUUGGGCAUAAGAAGUGUUUUGCCAUUGGAGUCAAGAGCUACCCAUUUUGGGAAAGGGAGGAAACCUUCAUUUUGACUAGAAUAUAUCUUAAGCUUUAACAGAGAACACAAGACAAAGGGGGCUGAGGUGGUAUAAAUCAUCUUUAUGGGCAGUUCAGGGCUGAGGUUAGACAUCAGGUGGAAGAAAGCAGUACUUGAAAAUAGACACCGAGAUAAGACUACGCAGAAUGUGCUGAGGAGUGACAGCUUGGUUUGAGAGUGGGCUUCUGUUUCAGAAGAUGAGGCUGGAAAUGUACAGCGGAGUUGGAAGGCCUUCAAGCCAGGUUAAGGGAUAUGGGCACAUCCCACCAGCACGGGAGAACCCCUGGAGCAUCAUACGGAAUAAUGUUAGUUUUGAGAGAGACAGCAGAAGCAGAGGAGGGGCAGAGAGAGAGAGAGACACAGCAUCUGAAGCAGGCUCCAGGCCCUGAGCUGUCAGUGCAGAGCCCAACGCGGGGCUGGAACUCAUCUGUACUUCAUCUGGUAAGCCUAGCUGUGUUUCAGACAGAAACCACACUAUUGAGGACUGAAGACAUGUUGAGAAGUAGCUGGCCAAACAGCCAUGAAACUACAGGUGGAUGAAUAAUAUAUCAGAAUAAUAUAACAGAAACAAGUUUGAAGAAGUCUGUCCACGCCCAAAUGCUCUGGAGGCAAGAAAACUAGAGCAAGAUACGUAUCUUGCAUGACACAAGUACUGCGGCAUAUAAGGAGGUCAAGGAGGAUUGACCUUAACUAGCAAAAGCCAAGAUGGCCGGGCUACCUGAACAGAAAACAUCAGUGCUAGAGAUGAGGUGGUUUCCUUUUAAUUUGAGGGAGCUGCUUCCAUUAUUAGAAGAGAAAUUUGCUGAAGGCAUUAACAGUUGACAAUUCUAAAAGAUACUUACAAAACUUGUUUUUGAGAUCUUUGGAGAGUUCUCUAAAAGACCCAGUAUUCCGGGCCCAUGACUGGGUACGAUAGGGGUGGGGAUAGAGACAGGAGAAUUUGGGGGGUGUCGCAUGUCUUUAGGAGAACAGAAUUACCACUCACUGUAAAAGUCACUGCUAAUUAGAGUGUGAUUUUGAGACUGAGAUGUGCAAGGGAGACAAAACCAGAGGAGGGUCUAGGACUAAGCCUUUGGAUUUGCUUGUCAGUGCCCCUUCGCAGGAGGUGAGGAUGGUAGGAUUCUGAUCCAGCAGGAGGAGACAAACAUUUGUAGUUGAUCCAUUCAGCAGAGUUUCAUGACUGUCCCUAGCAACUUCCCAUAGAGAGCACAUGGGAGCAUGAAAACAAUUGAUAAUAAUGAUUUUUUAAACUGAAAGUUCUAAGAGUCAAAAAUGUCAAACUGUUGAGCAAGCCAGGGUAGUACAACGUGAUCGUCCGACCUGACAGUCGGUGGCUUUUAGUACCAGGUGAAUUUUUUUCAUUAUAUUUGGAUACAGACUUGGGCUAUUAGGCUUUUUGAGAAAAGAAGGAUCAAUCAAGAACAAAAACCACAAUAAUUUAAUGCACUUAAUUUGGGGGAAACUUUAUCACAAUUAAUGUUUUAAAACUUUAUUUAUUUAGAACUUCCGUUUUAACAUCUAGCAAACUUUGAACUCAUUACCCAACUAAAACCUAAAUGAAAAUACAUGUGAAUUUGCAUCUCAGUUUCUUUUUCUUGCAUAAAUAUAUUUUCAUGUUAAUCUUUCAGCUAUUGAAAGAAAUGGAUUGAGAGAUGGGGGCUAAUUAAUCAUAUAUUUCCUUGGGUCAUUCUCAGAUAAUGGUCUGUAUUAAAUCAACUGCUGUCUGACUGACUUCCUUAAAUCACUGACUGUCUGCCUGCCGGAUCCCAACAGACUUGUCUAAUCAUAGCGCACUGUACUUUGUGGUAAUGAAGUGGGCUUACGUUGUCCGUGAAGACGACUCCUAGUUUCCACAUCUGAUACUUCACAUCAAUAGAGUUCAGUCUGGAAAGACAAAGAAGGAUUUGUGGAUAUGCAUGUGAAACAAAGACUCGGAGGCUUGCAAGAGCCUGCUGGCAUUCUUUCUGUGGGAUGAAACUGGCAACCAUCUCAGGAAAUUAGUUCCAUCCAAAGUGUCAAGGGAAUCUGGAACAUCUGGAUGAUGUGUUCCAGAAUUCUGUAAUGCUUUUUUAGUGGGAUCUUGGAAAACAAAACAAAGAUGCAACUUCUAUUAUUUAAGAUUAGCACUUUCUUUUCCUGCGUUAAAUAUAAGGUAAAGCCACUUGUUAUGUGAGAAUGAUUUCUGGAAACUAUGCUACUACAUUAACCAACAUGUGUGCAUCCCAAGUUUCCUCGCUUUCAUUAUACAUUUGUAAUUGCAUUCUGACAGAAUAAUUUUUACUUAGGCUAAUAAAAACUUGCAUAAACAUCCACAUUCACUUUACAACUAAAUUUGCCAGUGAAAGGGCUCUUUCAUCUUGUUUGUGUUUCCUCUUGUUUUUUAAAAAAAAAAAAUCUCUAUCCAAGAAGGCAUUCACCUUUUCCCCUUGGUUCCCAAAUUACCUUGUAGACUUAACUACAAUUUCCCAUUUAUUUUGUAGUUGCGGGUGUGCAGGUAUCUACGUACAUUUAUGCCUUUCUCCCUAGUCUGCAAACUCCCUAACACCAAGCACAUUGUAUCAUACAUGGAAUAUCUCUCAAUAAAUGUGCUGGAUGAGUAAAUCUUAGCAUAAAUAUUCCUGAUCUUUAGAUUAAAUACAUACAUAGUAAAACAUACUUUCUAACUUUAAUUUUUUUAGAGCUGCCCACUGAUUGAUGUGCUAAAAUUAUAACUUUGUUAGCCUAUCUAAUAUUCUAGGUAAUUGAUAUGAUAGGCUAUAAAAUAUGAGUAUUCGUUUCAAAAGGGCUUCUCUAUAUUUACUGUUUUAUACGUUAUUUCUUUAGUCAUUUUUUUUAGGAAGGCCAAUCUUAAAUUUCAAGUGGUAGGAUCAGUAAUCGCUAAUCAAAAUGGACUUCUUAGAGACUUCUCCCCCAAAGGUUACGUUUUAAUUUACCUUAGCCUAGGAGUCUUUAUCUUAAGGAAAUAAAGUUAUCUUUGAGCUAGAAUCAAUUCUAUUACUAGAGAUCAUUUUUUAAAGUUAUGUGAAUAUUUAAAAUGGAUUUCAAUACAAGGCUAUUUUUUUUUCUUUUUGUUUUUUAAAGUAUAUUUAUUUAUUUAUUUAGAGAGAGACAGAGUGUGUGGAAAGGAGGGGCAGAGAGAGAGGGAGAAUCUCAAGCAGGCUCCAUGCUGUCAACACAGAGUCCUUUUUGGGGCUCAAACUCGCAAAACUCUAAGAUCAUGACCUGAACCAAAAUCAAGAGUCAAAUGCUCAACCGACUGAGCCAUCCAGGCACCCCAAGACUAUUUUAUCUUAAAUUUAAAAACCCAAAGACAGAGAAAAAAUAAAUAAUGGGGUAAUUUGCAUGAGAGCAUGAUUAUUUCCCAUGAAAGCAAUCUAAAACAAAAUAAGUGUUCCUAUCAGGAUGACUGAAUGCCCCAUGGCAGUUUCUUACUUUAUUUAAAAAAUGGUUAUUAUUUUUCAUUCCUGUCAAACAUUAGGGUAACAAGUUUGCUGUCAACAUCGUGAAGCAGCAUACCCUUUUGGUGUUGUAGGACACUCUUUUCUCACCAAUCACGACAGUACUCCUGUUUGGGUGGAGCUGACCCAACCCCUAGGGAUGGGCCAAAGCUGAUCUAGGUCAACUGGGCACGCAUUCACCUGGCCACAGGGCUUGGUUCAGGGGCAGACUAUAAGCCAGAAGCUGAAGAGUUUUGCUAGAUGGUUUUGAGAUACAAAUCCCUUCUCUUUUCCCAUAAAGACACAAAUGAAAAAGAUGCAGGUUUUGUGGGUCCUGGCAGCCAUUCUAUCCCCAGGAGGUAAUGUGGCCACCUGUUUGUUUGACAAGCCCUACAUAUCUGAUUGACAAAUAAAACAUGCACAAAUAGAUGAAUCAUCCUUGUACCCAAACAUUCACAUUAAGAUAAUAUGCAAACCAGAUAAUGUUUUAAAAUUUGAUCUUUGUAAAUGUUUUAAAUAAAGGAACAAUAUAUGUAAUUCUU